rnacentral:rRNA from 1 species
UACGUAGGGGGCAAGCGUUGUCCGGAUUUACUGGGCGUAAAGCGCGCGUAGGCGGAAGCUCAAGUCUGGCCUGAAAGCCCCCGGCUCAACCGGGGAGUGGGCUGGAAACUGGGUUUCUUGAGGGCGAUAGAGGAGUGUGGAAUUCCUGGUGUAGCGGUGAAAUGCGUAGAGAUCGGCAGGAACACCCAGGGGGAAACCAGCCGGCCUGGCAUGCGCUGACGCUGAGGUGCGAGAGCGUGGGGAGCGAACCGG